UACAUUUUAGGAGUUACAAAACAAAGAAAAACAGUUAACACCACUCCGCCAAAUGAAUAGAGGAAAUUUAGUAAAGAUGUCAACCUCUCUGUAUUGGAAGAAGCUCCUGGUUGCUUGUCUUGACCCUGCCUCCCAUCGCUGAGGAGUCUAGUUCACCUCUAAGCCAAGUAGGAUGAGAGUAUAUUUGGUGUCUGAGCUCAUUUUUGAAUCUACUUCAUUUGUGUUACCACACAUUAUUCCUUCCCCCUGUUCAACUAUCUACUAAGACAUUUAAACUGGCCAAGAAACAUCUAUCUAGCAAAAUUUUGGCUGAGAGUG
rnacentral:lncRNA from 1 species